rnacentral:rRNA from 1 species
UACAGAGGGUGCGAGCGUUGCUCGGAAUUACUGGGCGUAAAGGGCGCGUAGGCGGGAUGGCAAGUCGGUCGUGAAAUCCUUCGGCUCAACCGAAGAACGUCGAUCGAUACUGCUGUUCUUGAGGGUUGCAGAGGAGACUGGAAUUCCCGGUGUAGCGGUGAAAUGUGUAGAGAUCGGGAGGAACACCGGUGGCGAAGGCGGGUCUCUGGGCAAUUCCUGACGCUGAGGCGCGAAAGCGUGGGGAGCAAACGGG